rnacentral:rRNA from 1 species
GGGGACCCUGGGGCGCAAAUUUUGUUGCUAGCCAUGCCGCGUGAGUGAUGAAGGCCCUAGGGUUGUAAUGCUCUUUCACCGGUGAAGAUAAUGACGGUAACCGGUGAAGAAACCCCGGCUAACUUCGUGCCAGCAGCCGCGGUAAUACGAAGGGGGUUAGCGUUGUUCGGAUUACUGGGCGUAAAGAGCACGUAGGCGGACUAAUAAGUCAGGGGUGAAAUCCCGGGGCUCAACCCCGGAACUGCCUUUGAUACUGGAAGUCUUGAGUUUGGUAGAGGUGAGUGGAAUUCCAAGUGUAGAGGUGAAAUUCGUAGAUAUUUGGAGGAACACCAGUGGCGAAGGCGGCUCACUGGAUC